ensembl:lncRNA
GGGAUUCCCUCCCCUCGCGCGCUGCACUCCGGAGUCCGGUUACUGGCCGUUGCAAGGAAAAGGCAACUAUUCAAAUUUGAGCUGUAAGAGCCCGUGCAACGCGCGCGCCUUUUUUUUUAUUACCACACGUGGCGCAGAGAAAAACACGCCGUGUAGGUUUUCUGUGCUGCAAUGUAUCGCAGAUCCGCAUCUGUGAGCGCAUUGAACGCCUCGCGCAGCAGGUGGGCACGCGCAUGUAUAGACUCCGCGAAGACGGCUCCCAUGAGCCUCUGCGCCCUGUCACCAAAGCAGCGCUCACGCCGAACGGACGCGUGUCUCCCACAGUGGGCAUUUGUGUUAAUUCCACGGCGCUGCAGCGUGGAGAGCGCCCGCUGUUGCCACUCGGCGGGAGGGAGACAAACGCGCGCCAACGGUGACUCGGACACGGCUCCCGAAGAAGGGCCCGGCGCCCAGAAUGUGACACGUUACACGAGAUGGAGUAACGUAUUAAUCGUAAUCCAAUACGCCGCGACCGCCUAAUUAAUCUGCAUCACCGCAGACGCGGCUCUCGCUGUUUUUGGUUUCUUUUUGCGGCGGGCGUCUUUGGCAGAAAGACUCGCUCGCAUAGAAAGUUUCAGGGGGAAAGUUUGGUCGAGGGAAAAUAAUCUAAAGGGGGAUUUUCUGAGGUGACCACCGCGGAGCGACUGGCUUUGUAUGCGAUUGCUCAUAACGCGAACACUUCAAUUACACUGCUACAGUUCUUCCAAUAUGUCACCCUUUCCGAAGUAAGGGGGUGUUUGUGUUAAUUUGUUGCAGGCGUUACCUUUUGACCUGUGCCAUGGUACACAACACGACCGCACGCGGACUUUCAGUAAACCUUUAUUUUCAACGAUAUUAAUGAAUAAUUAGCGUUCAUCCAUCCACAGGCGACCCAGGUUUUUGAGCGGGCGACGGUGUUGCUAAGCGACACAGUUUCCUGGUAAAUUGCUCGGGGCGACUCUAAUCCGCCAUAGUCCUAUAAUUAAUGCCGUAAUAUCAUUUGAGACGCACCCGUCGGCGUCGAUUUGGGGGAAGCAAAGGUAUGGCACUGUGACAGGUUCUGUUCCUUAUACCAGUCUAAUUUGGAUCCUUUAAGUACAUAAUGAGAUAUCAUCACGCGCAGCGCUAUGUGACGCCCAUCAGUCAGACGUCGUUGCUCCAAUCGGUCAUUAGUGUCACGGGGGGGUUGAGUGUAGAUGAGAGGCUUAUUAAAUAAAACUUCUAAAAAACGGGCAUUGCGGUGCCAUAAGGUCACGUGAACAGGUGCGCUCGUCGAUGCUUGUGCGCACCUGCUUCGGCUGAUUCGCAGGUGGUGCACUAUGGACUCGUCGGUGUGCCUCCGUCACACCUCAUAGACGUCGGUGCCGUAGAACCCGCCAUGGAGUCCACGCAGGUAUUACGUUCAACGGGCGAUGCGCACGUGGGGUUUUACCAAGCUGGCCGCUACAGGUGACGCAAGCAGGGCUGACGUGGCCCUAAUGCCGCCAUCAGUCCGUCUGCCAAAACCGGAUGGCAGAUUGUAAAUUAAGGGCAGUCAAAUGCUUUUGUCCGGGGGCGGUGAAACAAAUGGCAAUAUUGAAAUGAGGUUCUUGGCGACAUUAAAGCUAAAUGGGAGAGCCUAUAAAGAGGCUGUACGCGGAAGGGAACAUGCAUUGCAUUUCAGGCGAAACAUGAAACAACAACCUCUUCCUCGUCAAACUCCACUCCGAGUUUCUGCUGCCUCAAAUUCUUGUAAUAUUUUAUAUAUAUCUUUUAAUGGCCAUAAAUACAUUUAGUGCAUAAGUUGGUGUUGAACUUUAAAUGUAUUUAAAGAGAAAACUAGUUCAUAUGUGGAUGUUUUUGUGCCAUAUUGACAUGGAAAGUGGAGUUUACAGCUCCAACAUCUGUUCUGGAUGCUCUUCCUGCGUCUAGCAUUUUAAAUGGGGGAGACAUAAUUCCAUGCAAGGAAGAACUAUGAGCUAUUUAAGUGUGGAUUUCUCCGGUUAGCUGUAUGCUGCUCGUAUGACAGUAUGGCUGGGGGGGGGGGGGGAUCAUGGCAGAAGCCUUCACCAAAUGCACACGUACCGCUGCCACAGCUGCUUGAGCAGGAGAUCCUGGCUUUUUGGGUGCACAUAAUGACGUUUGCAUCGCUUCAGUUGCAGCCUGAUCUCCAAAACCUGUCCGUAAAAAUGUGUACGAAAAUCUUCAACAUACAAAUUUGUAGUGAUACAUACGAAAUAAAUACGGAGUGCAACUGAUGACGUCACCCUAAUCAAAGUGAAUGGGGACCUGCACCCCGUAAACACACUUUGUGAAGUCUAAUGAUGUAAAAUAAACGUGUUAUGAUUGCAUUUUUAACGAGAAAUCAAUGUUAAAUUGUAAGAAUACACUACUAACCCUAACCCCCUCAAAAAACCCAACGUGACGUUCACUCAAGAAUCCAACAUGGUCCGCCAUGUUGUUCACUCAAGGGCGUGGUUAACCACCGCCAGUUCGUAUGUAUUGUUACGAAUUUGUAUGUUCAAGAUUUUCGUAUACAUUUUUACGAACAGGUUUUGUAGAUCACGUUGUCAGUUGACAACAUUUAGCGUUAACAUGGAUCGGACAUCCACAUGAAAGGUGCUGAAUUUAACCCGUGAAGUACAAGUCGGAGGCACUGUACAGCCACUACUUCACUACUUUUCAAAGGUUUUCCAAUCAACUGCAUAUAAAGUAUUCACAACCACCACAUGAGCAUGCCCAGUAUCCCGUGAAGGUACAAAGGCUAAGUUCUUGUAGAAUACACAAAAAACAUUGAGUUACUCAUUCAACGGCUUGUCAAAAACGUUUUUUUGCUCCUGUCUCUCUCUGUGUGCCUCCCUUUAGCGUCAUUCACCUGUCAUGUUGUAAUACCUCAACCUGGAUAAAAGCUCUGCAUGAUCGUCAUGGCUAAUCUCACAGCUCAGGUGCUGCUAACAGGACACACGCAGGCACCAAAGUGCUGACUGUGGGAGCACGGAGGGAGUUAAUGAACAAUCAGCGUGACGGACAGUGGGAUUUAUUACCCUGCUAUAGUGCUUCAGGAACACACUUAAUAUGCAGUUUAGCCGCAAUGCUUUCCUGCUACAUGAUGCUGCAAGUUGGGUCAACUUGCAGCAUCCCCCCACACAAACUGUCGACAAUGGAUUAACAACCAUUGAAACCAUCCCGCUGUGCUCUGACAAUGUGGUGGCAACCACGAGCUCCUUGGUCAUAGUGUCUAACUAAUGUCUAUCUAAUCAGCAGUUUCAACAGGAUUCCCACUGUGCUAGAACAUGUCUUUAAAAAACAAAACAGAGGCUGGAUGUCAGACAGCUCCCGUGAAUUAAAGCAACCAGCCCUCGAUGAUUUCAUUUACCGGUUGCCUUGGUGACUCAUGUAAAGCAGUGGAAUACAACAGCACAGUGGGAUAAUUUGAUCGCUCUUAACCUCUGGAGUGGCGUUGCAGAGGGAAGAAUGGGAAUUCAUUUGCUACGUAUCCUCCAAUAAGGUCGGUCACUUUCAGAUGCGUACAAGCAAUUCACUAACGGUUUACAAGCCGUCACUUCUAUAUAUGAGAAUAACUUGAUGAAAGGUACGACUCUUCCUGGGAACACGGCUGUUCAACGUCCUUGUCAUUGGCUCUGGAGGGAGAUUCUAAGGUCAAAAGCGUAAAAUAAGUAGACGCUUGCCUUGCAGGGAUCAUCAUUCCAACACGCUGCAUCAUGGGAAUUGUAAUGUCCAAUGUUUUUGCCCCUACAAAAGCCUAAAAGUUAGGUUAAGUUAGGUUAUUUUAGCUUCCCUGUAUAUUAGUGCAUUAGAGUACUGUGCCCUUCAAAAGAAACGCAACAUGACUAUUAAGUUUAAAAAUAUAAUUUUCUACGCUCAAAAAAAAAACAGUAAGCCAAUCUGAAUUUGAGCAAGAAAACCCUUUAAGUGUUCGCUUUACCUCCAACUAAAAGGACAGCAGCGCCGGAAUGGCCGCGAGGUGGGAAUUAGGGGGUGGGAGCGUCUUAUUAAAUGCCAUCACGUAGCAACCAAAUGUUUUCAUGCUUGUUUGCGGCUGCAGCCGAGAAAUAGACCGAGUGACCUCAUCCCACUCAAACUCAAACUCAGCAAUAAGUUCUCAUGUCACUCACUGGCAAACCUGAGAAAUACAUUUUGUCACGGGAGAUUGCCGUGAAGCAAGGUGCUUUAUUCUGUAAUUUAGCACGUAGCUCUGUUUAAUCAAGUGAGUGGAGGCACACACCUGCGCUGAGCACACAGUACCUUCCAAUCAACACAGCACGACCCGCUCUGACUGUAACUUCACCAGCGUUAAGGUAUCGUUUCCUGAUACAAUGGAAGGAAGUGCGUCACACACCUCGAGACAAAGAAGAAUGGAACGCAGCUCGGGCGAAAAACAGCGGAGAGAGAAAAGGGGAAAUGUUGGAAGCGUGUAGUGGAAGAAGUGAACAAAUAACAUAUAACAUG